rnacentral:rRNA from 1 species
ACGUAGGCAGCGAGCGUUGUUCGGAGUUACUGGGCGUAAAGGGUGUGUAGGCGGUUGUUUAAGUUUGGUGUGAAAUCUCCCGGCUCAACUGGGAGGGUGCGCCGAAUACUGAAUGACUAGAGUGCGGGAGAGGAGAGUGGAAUUCCUGGUGUAGCGGUGAAAUGCGUAGAGAUCGGGAGGAACAUCUGUGGCGAAGGCGACUGCCAGGACCAGCACUGACACUGAGGCACGAAAGCGUGGGGAGCAAACAGGA